GUGCAUGCGGGAUCAAAAGGUCCCUGUCAUGUACCCUAUUCACUUUGUCAGUUGACAUUUUGUUUUCAGCUGAUCAUGAAAGGUGGAAAAUUA
rfam:Zea mays cultivar B73 chromosome 1, whole genome shotgun sequence.